rnacentral:rRNA from 1 species
GACGAACGCUGGCGGCGUGCUUAACACAUGCAAGUCGAACGCUGAAGCUCAGCUUUUGUUGGGUGGAUGAGUGGCGAACGGGUGAGUAACACGUGAGUAACCUGCCUCCUUCUUUGGGAUAACGCCCGGAAACGGGUGCUAAUACUGGAUAUUCACUGGUCUUCGCAUGGGGGUAGGGGGAAAGGGGUUUUCUGGUGGGUGAUGGGCCCGCUGCCUAUCGGCUUGUUGGUGGGGUGAUGGCCUACCGAGGCUUUGACGGGUAGGCGGGCUGAGAGGGUGCCCGGUCACAUUGGGACUGAGAUGCGGCCCAGACUCGUACGGGGGGCGGCAGUGUGGACUAUUGCACAAUGGGUGCAAGCCUGAUGCAGCGACGCCGCGUGAGGGAUGGAGGCCGUCGGGUUGUGAACCUCUUUCGGUAACGGUCAAGCCGAAACAAUGGUUGUGGUGAGGGUAGUGGGUAAAGAAGCGCCGGCUAACUACGUG